AGCCAGGGCUGCCAGGCAGGCGGCAGCCAUUGAGCCAGCCUCCGUAAAGAUGGCGUGUGUAUCCCUGCCCGGUCAUGUUUUCCGCCUUUCUCGACGUUUCGGCUGUCAUGCAACCCCCUAACUCGCCACACAGGUUACAGUCAUGAAGUUUGUGGUGGAGCAUGUGAGCAAGGAGGGAGGACGAUGAGGCAGGCUGGGUGAUCUCUGCAGCCAGCCUGAUAGUAUCCACACCACUCCACUCUCCCUUAUUUCCACCAUGGGAGGCAGUGCACCACAUCUCAAGAUGUGCUGCUCUGGUGGCAUGGUGUCAAGGGAGGCACCUUUUUGUAUCCCUGCCCAGCACUUUAUUGAACACAUGAAGGUACUCCAGAGUUUCAAGAAGGGAGUGGCACACACAUUUUGCUGCACUCUAAGCUUUUGGAGGUCUAGUGGCACACUGCUUUCAUUAAUGUGUGAGCAGAAUGCAAGACAGAGAGGGGCAAGGAUGGAAGAUGCUUCAAUAUUCACAACAUCUUUGGUUCAUGCUUUCUUUUUUGUGGAAAAGUAGUAAACACAGUUUUAACCAAAGGAUUAUAGGUCAUCAUUCAUAUUCGUAGAUUUCAUGACUUAACAUUGUGUUGAGUUUUGUGCAUCAAAUCACUUCGUUACAUGUAAGUGUAUAUCUAGCUACAAGGAGUAAUGGUUUAUGAAGUUUGUAAUGGAUAAAAAGUGACAUAAGAAAUCUUGCAUUAUGAAGAUUUGUUUGUGAGCAUGAUCUAGUUGUGUCAGGCUUAACAGUCCAGAUUUUACAGACAUGAAUAAUUUUUCAUUGCACUUCCUGCAGAUGGAAUUUCAGUCAACACUGCAAGGUGUAUUUACCUAGUUGUGUUUUACAGGAAAAGAGCUAUGCUCAUGCUGUCCUGUCUCCAUACCUAUAUUCAUCCAGUUUAGCCUUAAAGUUAUGAAUAUUUCUUGCUUGAACUACUGUUUCAUGCAACUCGUUCCAUAUUUCCUUGCUUCUGUUUGGAAAACUAUAUUUCUUAAUGUCUCUUCUACAUGUGGUCUUUUUCAAUUUCAUGCAGUGUCCCCUUGUGUUUCUUGAGUCCUAUGCCAAUAGGUCUUCUUUGUCAACUGUGUCCAUCCCCUUCCAUACCCUGUAUAUAGCAAUUAGGUCUCCUCUUUCUCUCCUCUGUUGCAAUGUUUGAAGUUUUAAUAUCUUUAAUCUGUCCUCAUACGUUAGGUCUCUCAAACUUGGAACCACUUUGGUUGCAGCUCUUUGAAUCCUUAUAUCUUUCUUAUGUAGUGACCAUAUAAGUGCAGCAUAUUCUAGUUUAGGUUGAAUGAUGUAUUCUAUCAGUUUUAUCAUCAUCUCUUCAUCUGUAUAGGUAAAUGCCCAUUUAAUUUUUCUUAGUAACUGAUAUGUUUCCCCAACUAUGUUGUUGACAUGUUUUUCCGGUGAUAAAUUGUCAUUUAUUGUAAUACUCAGGUCUUUCUCCUCUUUUGUUUUCUGAAUUUCUACCCCUCUCAUAGUAUAAGAUCUCUUCUGUCUUCUUUUGCUUUUCCCUAGUUUCAUCAUUUUGCACUUUUUUGCAUUAAAUUCCAUUUCCCAUUUCUUGCUCCACUCCUGUAUCUUAUUCAAGUCUUUCUGUAGCAUUUCACAAUCCAUGUCAUUUUCCACUUGUUUCAGUAACUUUGCGUCAUCUGCAAAUAACUGUCCACCUCAUCAACCAUAUCAUUGAAAUACAUUAUUAACAUUACAGGGGCCAGAAUUGUACCCUCUGGAACUCCAAUUAUAACUCUGCACCAUUUUGAUUCUUCACAUUUUAUCACUGUUCUCAUUUCUCUGUCCUUUUAAGAAAUCUGUUAUCCAAUCCAAUACUUUUCCCUGUUAACCUAUUUGAUUUUCUAUAGCAAUCUUUGAUGUGGUACUUUAUCAAAUGCUCUUUUUAGAUCCAGGUGGACACAGUCUGCCCAUCUGUUCCUCUCUUGAAUUACAUCUAUUGUUCUACUGUAGAAACUCUUCCACUUCUGAAACCAAAUUGUUUUCCAGUUAUUGUAUGUGAGUCAUCUAGCUGUUGCAUCCAUCUGUCUUUGACUGUUUUUUCAGCUAAUUUUGAAACCACGCUUGUUAUGGACACUGGUUUGUAACUCAGUGGUUCUUUGUUACCUCCCUUAAAGAUUGGUACAAUGUUUGCUCUUUUCCUGUCUAGAGGGACUUUUCGUUUUUAAAGGAACAUACUAUGAUGUUAUGUAAUAUCUUUGUCAGCUGGUCAUGACAUUCCCUUAUUAUCCAAUUUGACACCCUAUCUAGUCCUUGAGCCUUAUUCACAUCCAAGGUUUUCAUAAUCUUCCUGAUUUAACCGACUUCUACAUGGAUCUUUCUUGUUUCCUUGUUCCUGUGACCUGUUUGUGUCCCUUCAAACUUGUUUUCUUUUGGUGAAUACUGAUUGAAAGCACUUAUUAAUUAUUUUUGCCUGUGUGUCCGUAAUGAUGACUAAAUAAUGUCCUUUUGAUGUAUAGAUAAGUGCCGAGAGGGUAUGAUUAGUUUUCCCCAAACUCAAACAAACCUUGUCGUGUGUGGCCUGCAUGUGUCAUGUCGUGUCAGGUAGUUGGGCGUAAUCUUCUGUUUGUCAUGUCUUUUGUUUGGAUACACAGUCUAAAUAAUUUAAAUUGUAAAAAAUUAUGUCAAGGAGCUAUUUCUUUCUAUACAUAUAUAAAGUUGACAAAUAAAGAGCCUAAAGACCAACAGUGGAGUAACAGUCAGGCUUUCAGCGAGACCCGAAGUUAACCGUGUAGAAUGCGGCCCCAGAAUGAUGGUCUGUGUUUUUUUUAUAUUUAUGGUGACAAUGUAGUGUUGCAAGGGACAACAUGCAUGCUGUUUGAGAGCAAUGCCAUUGUGAAGUGCUUUAAAAAAUCACUUUAGUGAGUUGAUAGUUCCUCAUAGACUUUUGCAGUGAAAAUGCUCUCAAAAUACUACUCAUGUUCUCAUAUUGAUUUUUUAAUAAUUUGUAAGUUGAAAAUUUUGGUAGUUUUGUAAAAUUAAUUUCAAAAUUAGAAAACCAGUUGAAGAUUUUGGUAGAUUUUUGUAAAAUUAAUUUCUAAGUUGUAGAUUUGUGUAAAAUUAAUUUCUUUGUAAAAUUGUUUUGUAAAAUUAAUUUUAAAGUUAGAAAACCAGUUGAAAAUUUUGGUAGGUUUUUGUAAAAUUAAUUUCUAAGUUGUAGAUUUGUGUAAAAUUAAUUUUUUGUAAAAUUAAUUUCUAACUUGAAAAUUUGGUAGAUUUGUGUAAAAUUAAUUUCUAACUUGUUUGUGUAAAAUUUUGUAAGUUUGUAAAAUUAAUUUCUAACUUGAAAAUUUGGUAGAUUUGUGUAAAAUUUUGUAAGUUAACUUGAAAAGUUGGUAGAAUUGAAUUGAAUUGAAUGAAAAUUUUGGUAGAUUUUUGUAAAAAUUUGUAAUUUCUACAGCAAAAAUGUUUAAAAUUUUGGUGUAGAUUGAAUAAAAGGGAAGGAAGGGAGA